CAAGUAAUGUCCCCUAUUCCUGGACAAGGCCAAUGUCCUCGUGCAGAAGUGGGAGCCCACUGACAGAGGACAGUCUCCUGUGGACUCAACUGCCAGGUGCGGAGCUCCCAUGCGGCCUGUUCUCUCUCCAGGCGACAACACACCCUUCAGACCAUGGGACCUCGCUGGCACAGGUGUUUGUCUCACAGCCCUGGAUCUGUGCAGAAAACAUCCCAGUUUUCCUUGACGCGCUAUGACUCUGUUGGCCUCAGAGAAAAAAGCCAGGAAGCUGGGAACCACAGAGCGAAUGACUGUGAUCUCCUCAGCUCUUCCUCUGAAUGACUACAGAGCAACUGGGAUGAUAGCAAAUGACAAAAUAAAUAA